UGCGGCGGGUGUGGCUGUGCUGAGGCGCGCUAGAAUAAAGGAAGCCUGGGCCAAGCUUGCGCUGGGGUUCGGGUUCAGCGCUACGUCAUCGGCGGAACCAUGGAGUCGAGCUGUUUAUCCCGGGGCAGUGGAGGCCACCCGCCUUUUGGGGGAUCCCUGCUUGGUACUUCGGGAAUUAGAUGAGUCAGUCCAGUGUAACCUAGUGGCCUACCAGCAUGUCAGAUGUACCACUUGUCAAGAAUGGAUGAGAAGGUGUGAAUGGGUUGUGAUUUGCAUUGUUGGAAGGAACUGAUAAAAUCUGAAAUUCAUUAAUGUAUUCAUCAAAGCUAUUGGAAUAAUUCAGAACAGCAGCAAUGUCAGAGGAGAAGAGAAGAGAGAUACUGCGAGAAGACAGGUCUUGGCAAUAGGUUGGAUAUGGAAGGUGAGAGACAAGAAAUCUAGGAUGACUUCAAAAUUGUGAAUUGGAGGAAUUGGGAAGAUGACUGCUACAAGUAAUUGGGAAGGUAGAAUGAGGGUAGGGAUUUGGGGAAAUAUAAUGAUUUUUAGAUAUCUAUUGGACAUCUGAUUUGAAACAAGAAAGGCAGUUAGAAAUAUAAGAUUGGUGGUCAGAAGAGUUUAGAACAAAAUAUAUUUGAAAAUUAUUACCAUGGAUAUGGUAAUUAAAUCUUCCAGAACUGAUGAAAUCACCAAGUGUAUCUACACUUAGAGAAGAAGUGGACCCAGGAUCUACAUAGAAGAAGUGGACCCAGGACAUAAGCAUUAUGUCAAACAUAAUAUCAUAGUUUCAUCUUUUGAGUGUCUUUAAAAGUCUUGGAUGGUACAAGGAUCAGCUUUAAUUUACUUAAAUCUAAUAUUUCACCUGAACCUAAAAUAGUUUACCUGCUUUAAACUUCAAUUUAAUCUAGUCCCUCUGACAGUUCUGCUUCAAAAACAAAAAAAUAACGAAUUGAUGCUUCUUUAGAGUCAGCAAAAAAGUCACUAUCUCUGUAGCUUCUUUCUUAUCCCUCUAAUACCCCUUUUUUACUAGGUUGAAAGGUCUUUAAUUUUAAACUUCUAGAUUUUGACAUAACCUAGUGAGGUGCUCUAAAUUCUAGCUUGCAUUCACCCUGCCCCACUUUGUCCCUCUUCUCUUAGCAUGAAUAAUGUGGCCCUUAUUAAAAAGAUGCCCUUUUCUCUACAAUGGUUUCUUUGUCUAUUAACUAUAUAGGAAUUAUUUUUCAAGUUGUUUCUUCUUUUGGGUCUGUGCCAUAUAUUUGCCCUGGGCUUCCAAUAAGGUGUUUUAAAAUAGAAAUCCCAGGGUUUCCUUGUAGGUUAUAGCAUUUUAAACACUUCCCCCUCCCCCACAGCUGCCUUCAUUGUGUCCCAGUUUCCCUUUCUAAAAAUUAGUAACCAACUGACAGGUUUAUUUUGGUUUCUCUUUUCCCAGCAGAACAUUGAAUUCAAUGAUAACACUGUCACUAUUCCAAUUGCUUCCUGCACCAGUUCCUAACUAUUCAGAAGCAAUUCCAGUAGCAAGCACAGCACCUCCCCCCCACGCUCACCAGAGUAUUUUCUUUAAGCAAAUUUCUUCUUCUCAAAAACCUCAAGUACAUAUUUUGAUAUAAUUUGCUACUGCCUAUCUAGCCUAAUCCUGCAGUUGCCUCAACUGUCAUUUAACAUUUCUAGUUGUUUUUUUUAUCACCUUAGUCAAGAACUUUUUUCAAAGUAUGGAAUUAACAAAAGAAAUGCUAUACUCUUGUUACUAUCCCUUAAUAGUGUUGCUUACCUGCUCCUCUUCUAGAUAUAAUGCAAAAAAAAAAAAAAACUCCCCAAAAAACAUAGCCCAUUGGGUGACCCACCAUAUCAGCAACAUACCAACAAAGCCACAAUACUAAUAUUUACCUACAUUUGUACAGAAUCAUCCAAAUAUUCUCAUUUGACUUUCCCCAUCACUUCACAAACCUACUUUUUAAUCUAGGUUAGCAGGAGAGUUAGUAAUAUAACAGGAGGGAAACAUGUAGAAUUGGAGAUCAGGGAGAUCUAGAUUUGAAUCCCAAUUCCUGUUUUCUAGGCUUGUAAACCCUAGGGAAACAAACCUGGAGAAAAAAAGACAAGUCAUUUGUAAACCUUUUUUCUCACCUGUAAAACAGGGAGAAAAUAAAUGUUAUUAACCUCAUUCCCAUAAGAGUCAAAUGAGAUUUUUCUCAAUCAACAUAAAGACAAUUUUAAACAUGUUUUUAAAAUUGUGUUCCAUGCUGAGUGAAAUGAGCAGGACCAGAUUAUUUUAU